CCUACGGGUGGCUGCAGUGGGGAAUAUUGGACAAUGGGGGGAACCCUGAUCCAGCCAUGCCGCGUGUGUGAAGAAGGCCCUCGGGUUGUAAAGCACUUUCAGUGAGGAAGAACGCCUGGUGGUUAAUACCCAUCAGGAAAGACAUCACUCACAGAAGAAGCACCGGCUAACUCCGUGCCAGCAGCCGCGGUAAUACGGAGGGUGCGAGCGUUAAUCGGAAUUACUGGGCGUAAAGCGCGCGUAGGUGGCUUGAUAAGCCAGUUGUGAAAGCCCCGGGCUCAACCUGGGAACGGCAUCCGGAACUGUCAAGCUAGAGUGCAGGAGAGGAAGGUAGAAUUCCCGGUGUAGCGGUGAAAUGCGUAGAGAUCGGGAGGAAUACCAGUGGCGAAGGCGGCCUUCUGGACUGACACUGACACUGAGGUGCGAAAGCGUGGGUAGCAAACAGUAUUAGAUACCCCAGUAGUC
rnacentral:rRNA from 1 species